UGGAGAGUUUGAUCCUGGCUCAGAUUGAACGCUGGCGGCAGGCCUAACACAUGCAAGUCGAGCGGUAGCACAGAGAGCUUGCUCUCGGGUGACGAGCGGCGGACGGGUGAGUAAUGUCUGGGAAACUGCCUGAUGGAGGGGGAUAACUACUGGAAACGGUAGCUAAUACCGCAUAAUGUCGCAAGACCAAAGUGGGGGACCUUCGGGCCUCAUGCCAUCAGAUGUGCCCAGAUGGGAUUAGCUAGUAGGUGGGGUAACGGCUCACCUAGGCGACGAUCCCUAGCUGGUCUGAGAGGAUGACCAGCCACACUGGAACUGAGACACGGUCCAGACUCCUACGGGAGGCAGCAGUGGGGAAUAUUGCACAAUGGGCGCAAGCCUGAUGCAGCCAUGCCGCGUGUAUGAAGAAGGCCUUCGGGUUGUAAAGUACUUUCAGCGGGGAGGAAGGCGAUAAGGUUAAUAACCUUGUCGAUUGACGUUACCCGCAGAAGAAGCACCGGCUAACUCCGUGCCAGCAGCCGCGGUA
rnacentral:rRNA from 1 species